AGCGUGGAAAGAGCGGCGGGGCGCGGGAGGAGGAAGUAGAGCCCGGGACCGUCGGGCCACCACCGGCCGCCUCAGCCAUGGACGCGUCCCUGGAGAAGAUAGCAGACCCCAUGUUAGCUGAAAUGGGGAAAAACUUGAAGGAGGCCAUGAAGAUGCUGGAGGACAGUCAGAGAAGAACAGAAGAGGAAAAUGGAAAGAAGCUCAUAUCCGGAGAUAUUCCAGGCCCACUCCAGGGCAGUUGCUUAAGAAAAAAAAAAAAACUUGAAGCAACACUAGUUGGAUGAGGGAAGUAGCGGGAGAGUGGUGGGGGAUGUGUGCUGUUCCCAUCAGCCCAUCAACUCUUUUUAUUCUUCAGUGGACAAGAUAUGGUGAGCAUCCUCCAGUUAGUUCAGAAUCUGAUGCAUGGAGAUGAAGAUGAGGAGCCCCAGAGCCCCAGAAUCCAAAAUAUUGGAGAACAAGGUCAUAUGGCUUUGUUGGGACAUAGUCUGGGAGCUUAUAUUUCAACUCUGGACAAAGAGAAGCUGAGAAAACUUACAACUAGGAUACUUUCAGAUACCACCUUAUGGCUAUGCAGAAUUUUCAGAUAUGAAAAUGGCUGUGCUUAUUUCCACGAAGAGGAAAGAGAAGGACUUGCAAAGAUAUGUAGGCUUGCCAUUCAUUCUCGAUAUGAAGACUUUGUAGUGGAUGGCUUCAAUGUGUUAUAUAACAAGAAGCCUGUCAUAUAUCUUAGUGCUGCUGCUAGACCUGGCCUGGGCCAAUACCUUUGUAAUCAGCUCGGCUUGCCCUUCCCCUGCUUGUGCCGUGUACCUUGUAACACUAUGUUUGGAUCCCAGCAUCAGAUGGAUGUUGCCUUCCUGGAGAAACUGAUUAAAGAUGAUAUAGAGCGAGGAAGACUGCCCCUGUUGCUUGUCGCAAAUGCAGGAACGGCAGCAGUAGGACACACAGACAAGAUUGGGAGAUUGAAAGAACUCUGUGAGCAGUAUGGCAUAUGGCUUCAUGUGGAGGGUGUGAAUCUGGCAACAUUGGCUCUGGGUUAUGUCUCCUCAUCAGUGCUGGCUGCAGCCAAAUGUGAUAGCAUGACGAUGACUCCUGGCCCGUGGCUGGGUUUGCCAGCUGUUCCUGCGGUGACACUGUAUAAACACGAUGACCCUGCCUUGACUUUAGUUGCUGGUCUUACAUCAAAUAAGCCCACAGACAAACUCCGUGCCCUGCCUCUGUGGUUGUCUUUACAAUACUUGGGACUUGAUGGGAUUGUGGAGAGGAUCAAGCAUGCCUGUCAACUGAGUCAACGGUUGCAGGAAAGUUUGAAGAAAGUGAAUUACAUCAAAAUCUUGGUGGAAGAUGAGCUCAGCUCCCCAGUGGUGGUGUUCAGAUUUUUCCAGGAAUUACCAGGCUCAGAUCCGGUGUUUAAAGCCGUCCCAGUGCCCAACAUGACACCUUCAGCAGUCGGCCGGGAGAGGCACUCGUGUGACGCGCUGAAUCGCUGGCUGGGAGAACAGCUGAAGCAGCUGGUGCCUGCGAGCGGCCUCACAGUCAUGGAUCUGGAAACUGAGGGCACAUGUUUGCGGUUCAGCCCUUUGAUGACCGCAGCAG
rnacentral:sRNA from 1 species